ensembl:lncRNA
AGAGAAUAUGUUUUAAACAUGUCAUGAUCAGCAUCCUGAUUGCCCUUGCUUUUCCAAAGCCAUCCACUGUCUAUCCAUCUCUAUCAGACUUGGUGAUGAUGUUACAGAAACUGUGCCAAAGGCUGCAUUGGCAGUUUCACAGAGUUUUGAUGGAAGUGUGGAAGAGGGAGCUCCUCUUCAGUGUCUUCGCUGAAUCUCAUCGAAGGAUUCAUGCCUUCAACAGAACCUACCAUUCCCAAGGUGUGUGGGGAUUGC